rnacentral:rRNA from 1 species
AAUCAAGUGGAGGACAAGUCUGGUGCCAGCACCCGCGGUAAUUCCAGCUCCACUAGCGUAUAUUAAAGUUGUUGCAGUUAAAAAGCUCGUAGUUGAACCUCUGUCUGGGGCUAGUUUUGGCUUUGGUCAGGCUAGUUCUAGGCAUCCGCCUACAAGACUUAGAGGGCAUUCAGUUGUUCACUAGGAGGAGUAGGCAUUUUACUUUGAAAAAAUUAGAGUGUUUAAGGCAGGCAAUCGCCCGCAUAUAUUAGCAUGGAAUAAUAGAAUAGGACACUUUUCCAUUUCGUUGGUUAUUGGAAUCGUGUAAUGAUUAAUAGGGACAGUUGUGGGCAUUUGUAUUUAAUUGUCAGAGGUGAAAUUCUUGGAUUUAUUAAAGACAAACUAACGCGAAAGCAUUUGCCAAGGAUGUUUUCAUUAAUCAAGAACGAAAGUUAGGGGAUCAAAGACGAUCAGAUACCGUCCUAGUCUUAACUAUAAACUAUUCCGACUCAAUGUUUGACUGGCUUAUAUAACCAGUUGAGCGUUGUAUGAGAAAUCAAAGUCUUUAGGUUCUGGGGGGAGUAUGGUUGCAAAGCUGAAACUUAAAGGAAUUGACGGAAGAGCACAACCAGGAGUGGAUUCUGCGGCUUAAUUUGACUCAACACGGGGAAACUUACCAGGUUAAAACAAUAGUGGGAUUGACAGUUUGAGAGCACUUUCUUGAUUGGUUGGGUGGUGGUGCAUGGCCGUUCUUAGUUGGUGGAGUGAUUUGUCUGCUUAAUUGCGUUAACGAACGAGACCUUAACCUGCUUACUAGACUGGCGAUCAUCAAUCGUUAGCUCUUCUCAGAGGGACUUUGGUUGUUUUAACUCCAAGGAAGUUUGAGGCAAUAACAGGUCUGUGAUGCCCUUAGAUAUCCUGGGCCGCACGCGUCAUACAAUGACUAGUUCAGAAAGUUUUCUCCUGACCCGAAAGGGGAUGGGUAAUCUUGAUAAUACUAGUCGUGUUAGGGAUCGAUCUUUGCAAUUAUAGAUCUUGAACGAGGAAUUCCUAGUAAGUGCGGUUCAUCAGACCGUACUGAUUACGUCCCUGCUCUUUGUACACACCGUCCGUCGCUUCUACCGAGUGGGAGGUCCGGUGAGAUAAUUGAACUUCGCAGGUAACUGAGAGGAAAGAUUAUCAAACCUAUCCACCUCGAGGAAGAAGAAGUCGUAACAAGG